GUGGAAAGACGCACAGUGUGAAUAUACGGAAUAAAAUGCCUAAAAAGUACUUUUUAAACUGUAGAAUAGGAUGACCGGACUCUUCCCAGUCCUCAGGAUACAAAAUAUAAACAAAAGAUCUACAGUAAAAUAAAACUCCAUAGUACAAUUAAUCAGAACAAUAUACUAGUGUUCAAGGUUACACUCACAAAAGUAUAUUGAUUGUAGACUUAUCAAAUAAUUUGUACAAGGUCCACAACAUGGAAAAUGGGCAGGUAGUACAGAAUGAAAAAUACACAAUUAGUGUAGACAGUUAAAAACGUUAUUAUGUGCUUAAAUGAAUCACACUUACAAGCUUGAAGUGAUAUAUGAACAUAUAUUCACAAAGUAUGAUCCCCAGUCAUCAUCCACAGGGUUUCAUUGUGAAGGAUAAGGAGUACUGGUUCUUGAUUAACAAGGCAAUUUAUUGGAUAUAUAAAAGCACAAAAUUGAAGUAAAACAAAAUACAAGCUUCCUACAGUGGCCCAACCCUAUGCGUUUCGUCAGCUCAAAAUCUGGCUUCCUCGGGGGUAAUAAUUAAAAUCCAAUCUCCUGUGUAGUGUAGUUCAUCCUGUAUCAUCCGGUGUUGUUUUAAAUGUGAGGGCGCCAUUCCCGUGAGCCCAUCAGCAGCAAAUGGUCCCAGCUGUAACUUGUGUUUGGGGAAAAAAAGCGCUUCAGACCUCGUUUUCAUGUGCCGUCCGUUCUUGUGCAUAUAUGGCGUUGCGUUUCAUCAGUCGGGAGAUCGGGGAAUGUGUUCCACUUCAAGUGCUGUGUUGAUUCCUUAUGCCAUCUUGUAUAAAGUCCCAGUGUUACUCGUAGAUAUGUGAAGAAAUAAUAAAAUAAAAAAAAUGUAUGUACCAUGAUCUUAAAAAAAUAAACAAAG